AACGAACGCUGGCGGCAUGCCUAACACAUGCAAGUCGAACGAGACCUUCGGGUCUAUUGGCGCACGGGUUCGUAACGCGUGGGAACCUUCCCUUAGGUUCGGAAUAACUCCCCGAAAGGGGUGCUAAUACCGAAUAAGGUCUUCUAACCAAAGAUUUUUCGCCUUGGAAUGUUCCCGCGUUGGAUUAGCUAGUUGUUAGGGUAAAAGCAUACCAAGGCGAGGAUCCAUAGCUGGUAUGAGAGGCGGAUCAGCCACACUGGGACUGAGACACGGCCCAGACUCCUACGGGAGGCAGCAGUGGGGAAUAUUGGACAAUGGGCGAAAGCCUGAUGCAGCAAUGCCGCGUGAGUGAUGAAGGCAUUAGGGUUGUAAAGCUCUUUUACCCGGGAUGAUAAUGACAGUACCGGGAGAAUAAGCCCCGGCUAACUACGUG
rnacentral:rRNA from 1 species